CCCGCCCUGACCAAACCCCACAGAGAGAGCCCACCUCACCUCUUCCUGGACCAGGGGCAGGGGAGUGGGAGGUGAGUGAAGCAUUUUAACAAGAAAACGACGCGGCGGCCUCCACCGGAUCGAAAGCAGAACUAGCCGAGGGUGUGAAGACAGAAGAUGGAAAGUACAUUCCUGGACUGGGUCCUGGUGAGAACUUUGGCCAACAAGGAAUGGAGAGGGUGUGUCACCCUCAAGUGUGUGAAGCUUGUCAGGUGGCAUGGCAGGAAAUAAAAGCUGAAUAUGAGAAACAAAGUCCUCAAGAGCUCUUCCAGCAGAGAAAACAAAGACAAACCAGGAUGUGACCAUGGCGGGUCUGGCAGGAGAGGCUGUUAACUGGUACCCAGUACUGAGUGACAGAAAGAGGUGCCAGGUAAUCAUCUGCCAAGCUCUGACAAUGUCUUAAAGUACUUUUGGAAGAAGUUAUGCUGCCAUCCCGUUGGGUCCAGAAGGCAAAGCAUCCAGCCAAAGAGGAUUCUUCUUGAGCCUUAACAUCUGUUGGAAUUUGUCAUGCUAGGUUUUGGACUUGCCUAGUACAUACCAUCCCCUUUCUUUUUUCCGGUUUCUCCCUUUUGGAAUGGGAAUGCCUAUGCUCUGCCUGUCCCACUAUUGUGUUUUGGAAGUACAUACAUAACUUCUUGGGUUUCACAAGUUCACAGCUGGAGAGGGAUUUUUUGUCAGGAUGAAUCAUACCUUGAGUAUCACCCAUAUUCGGUUUAGAUGCCAUCAGAAUGGGUGAAGAAUUUUGGGGCUGUUGUGAUGGGUUGAAUGUGUUUUGCAUGCAAGAAGGACAUGAAUUUUGGGGACCAGAGGGCAGAAUCUUGUAGACUGAAUUUUGUUCCCCUCCCAGUUCAUAUAUUGAAGCCCUAACUCCACGUGACUGUAUUUGGAGAUAGGGCCUAUAGGAAGGUAAUAAAUGUUAAGUGAGGUCAUGAAGUUGAGGCUUAACCUAAAAGGACUGCUAUCCCUAUAAGAAGAGGGAGAGAUACCAAAGAUAUCUUUCUGUGCAUGCAUGCACAGAGAACAGGCCAUGUGAGGACACACAGAGAAGGCAACCAUGUACUAGCCAGUGAGAGAGGCCUCACUGGAAACCAACACGAAUGGCACCUUGAUCUUGGAAUUCUGGCCUCCAGAACUAUGAGAAAAAAAUUUCUGUUGUUUUAUCCACCAAGUCUGUAGUAUUUUGUUAUGACAGCCCAAGUGGAGAAGUACAAAAUCCCUUUGUUUAUUGUGAUAUUUCUAAAAUAUAUUAAUGCUUUAUUAAGAAAAGUUAGCAUAACAAGUCACAAUUUAAAUUUUAAAUACUC